GGUGUCAUGGCAGAGAGGUUAAUGCGGAGUACUGUUAAUAUUUUUUCAGAGGUUCAAUUCCUCUUGACACCU
rnacentral:tRNA from 1 species